AACUUUACUAGAGGAAAGUACUUGACUAUGUUGAAGUUUCAACUUUGGGCGAGUGUCAAGCUGGAGUAGAUAUAUCAACACGGACGGAGAGUAAGGCUAGCAACGAAUACAAACUCUCUGGAGCUUGUCUUAAGUGCUGUAUUGGAGAUUGAUGCAUUUAGUAAUUGCAUUUUGCAGUCAUCUUUGAAGACCAAAACAAUUCAAUGACUCGCCGUGAUUUUAAUGAAUUAUUUGGUUACGUAGCAUCAAUA